AUUGAACGCUGGCGGCAGGCUUAACACAUGCAAGUCGAGCGGAGAUGAGGUGCUUGCACCUUAUCUUAGCGGCGGACGGGUGAGUAAUGCUUAGGAAUCUGCCUAUUAGUGGGGGACAACAUUCCGAAAGGAAUGCUAAUACCGCAUACGCCCUACGGGGGAAAGCAGGGGAUCUUCGGACCUUGCGCUAAUAGAUGAGCCUAAGUCGGAUUAGCUAGUUGGUGGGGUAAAGGCCUACCAAGGCGACGAUCUGUAGCGGGUCUGAGAGGAUGAUCCGACACACUGGGACUGAGACAGGGCCCAGACUCCUACGGGAGGCAGCAGUGGGGAAUAUUGGACAAUGGGCGGAAGCCUGAUCCAGUCAUGCCGCGUGUGUGAAGAAGGCCUCUUGGUUGUAAAGCACUUUAAGCGAGGAGGAGGCUACCUGGAUUAAUACUCUAGGAUAGUGGACGUUACUCGCAGAAUAAGCACCGGCUAACUCUGUGCCAGCCGCCGCCGUAAGAC
rnacentral:rRNA from 1 species